AAAAACCACAGCACAAAAAAUAAACUUGUUUUAUUCUUGGGGAGAAAUUUCAUGUUAUACUGUCCAAUAUUAAUUUAGAAAAAAAGACAGUUUUUUUUUUUAAGGCAUUUCAGAAACAUUGCCCUUUCAAGCAAGUUAGAACAAUAUCCCUCAACAUUAAAUACCAUCUUUUUAGCCAUCAGUACCACUGGGCAUGUGUCAUAAAAGAGAAAUGGGGGCAGAUAUAGCUCCCUUUCAUAUGCAAGUCUUAGAGCUAUGUUUGGCAU
rnacentral:lncRNA from 1 species